rnacentral:rRNA from 1 species
GAGUUUGAUCCUGGCUCAGGAUGAACGCUAGCUACAGGCUUAACACAUGCAAGUCGAACGAGCGAGAGAGAGCUUGCUUUCUCGAGCGAGUGGCGAACGGGUGAGUAACGCGUGAGGAACCUGCCUCAAAGAGGGGGACAACAGUUGGAAACGACUGCUAAUACCGCAUAAGCCCACAGCUCGGCAUCGAGCAGAGGGAAAAGGAGCAAUCCGCUUUGAGAUGGCCUCGCGUCCGAUUAGCUAGUUGGUGAGGUAACGGCCCACCAAGGCAACGAUCGGUAGCCGGACUGAGAGGUUGAACGGCCACAUUGGGACUGAGACACGGCCCAGACUCCUACGGGAGGCAGCAGUGGGGAAUAUUGCACAAUGGGGGAAACCCUGAUGCAGCGACGCCGCGUGGAGGAAGAAGGUCUUCGGAUUGUAAACUCCUGUUGUUGAGGAAGAUAAUGACGGUACUCAACAAGGAAGUGACGGCUAACUACGUGCCAGCCG